UCCGAUGUUUCUAAUUCAUAGUUACGAGACACACUCUUUUGGAAACUACAUGUAUUUGAAUGUCAUGAUAUGGUUCGAACAGUUCUAAAAUUUUACAAUUCUACGUUGUACUGUGACACAUUGAUGCAUAGAACUGCAUAUAGCUAGUUCAUUAUUCUGAAGCUGUUUUCAAAUCUUGGAAAUAAUGUAAUUGAAUAUAUAGUUCCUGAUAUUAACUCGAAAAAUGAUGAAACAUCGUUUUAUUUUAGUUAAAAUUUUUAUACAAUAAAACUUUUGUUUAGUCACAGUGGUUUUUAUGCUCCUAUUUCUGGACGUUGUUUAAUACCUAGAAAUGAAGAACAUAAGAUAAAUGUAUAUUAUUGAUGCUCCAUAAUUUGUAUAUUAUAUAAUCCGAUGCUGAUAAAUAUGAUAGCCUGAUUCAGUUCAGAUCAUUCUGUUUAAGAGUAUUGGUUUAAGAGAGUGUUUAAGAUAGCCUUCAUUAUGCAUCUUGCAUCACCAAAUAUAGAGUUGUCUAUCUGUUAUGAAGAAAAUACGACUCAAGAGUUGUUAUCAUGAUGAUCUUUGCAAGACCUAGUGUUACAUGUAUUGAUGUAAUACAGACAAGGCCCUUUUCAAGUUCUGUAAGUAGCUUGGAGAAGCUGGCAUGGUUUGAGAUGUAAUUUAAUACAGACAAGGCCCUUUUCAAGUUAUAUAAGUAACUUGGAGAAGCUGGCAUGGUAUAAGAUGUAGUUUGAUACAGACAAGGCCCUUUUCAAGUUCUGUAAGUAGUUUGAAGAAGCUGGCAUGGUCUGAGAUGUAGUAUGAUGCAGACAAGUCCCUUUUCAAGUUCUGUAAGUAGUUUGAAGAAACUGGCAUGGUCGGAGAUGUAGUAUGAUGCAGACAAGGCCCUUUUCAAGUUCUGUAAGUAGCUUGGAGAAGCUGGCAUGGUCUGAGAUGUUUUUUGACACAGAGAAGACCAUUUAAAAUUCAGUAAAUAGCUUGAAGAAGCUGGCAUGGUUUUAGAAGUAGUUUGAUACAGACAAAACCAUAUAAAAUUCAGUUCGUAGCUUGAAGAAGCUGGCAUGGUUUGAGAUGUAGUUUGAUACAGACAAGGCCCUUUUCAAGUUUUGUAAGUAGCUUGAAGAAGCUGGCAUGGUCUGAGAUGUAGUAUGAUACAGACAAGGUCCUUUUCAAGUUCUGUAAGUAGCUUGGAGGAACUGGCAUGGUUUGAGAUGUAGUUUGACACAGACAAGACCAUUUAAAAUUCAGUAAAUAGCUUGAAGAAGCUGGCAUGGUUUUAGAAGUAGUUUGAUACAGACAAGGCCCUUUUCAAGUUCUGUAAGUUGCUUAAAGAAGCUGGCAUGGUUUGAGAUGUAGUUUGAUACAGACAAGACCCUUUUCAAGUUCUGUAAGUAGCUUGAAGAAGCUGGCAUGGUCUGAGAUGUAGUAUGAUGCAGACAGGGUCCUUUUCAAGUUCUGUAAGUAGCUUGGAGAAGCUGACAUGGUUUGAGAUGUAGUUUGAUACAGACAAGACCAUUUAAAAUUCAGUAAAUAGCUUGAAGAAGCUGGCAUGGUUUUAGAAGUAGUUUGAUACAGACAAAACCAUAUAAAAUUCAGUUCGUAGCUUGAAGAAGCUGGCAUGGUUUGAGAUGUAGUAUGAUGCAGGCAAGACCCUUUCAAAUUCUUGAAGUAGCUUACAUGAAGCUGGAAUGGUUCAUCAUGUACAUCGUUCAUACAAUUAUGUUUUGAAAUUUUUAACUUUUUGACUAAGUUAGCAGUUUUGGAAUGUAGUAUUUACUAGUAUAUUUAGCCAAAGCCCUUUACAAGACCUACAAGUAUCUUGAUGAAGCUGGAAAAGUCCGAGAGGUAUUGUUAUGCAAACACUUCUUUUUUUUGGAUUUGUAAGUAUUUUCGAAGUUGGCAUGACCUUAAAUAUAGUUGCCUUCUUGUCUUUUCAAGGUGUGUAAAAUUAUAGUAUCUAAUUGAAGCAGGAAACUCGUUUUAUCGAUAAAUACAAGUACACAAACUUCAAAAGAUAUGCAAAAGUAUAGUGCAAUUUGUUUGAGAUGUAUUUGCAGACAUAAUAUUUAAAAUUUCAAUUGACAAAGCGAAACUACUGAACGUACGUAUUUAUUUUUUAAUAGCUUAACUACUAAUAUAACAUUGUCUUGUUUAUUCUGUAAAGGAGGCCAAAUUUGUAACGGUGCUUCUAAUAGGCACAAACUAUGUGGGAUCACAAUAUGAUUUUGAAAUUUUUGGAGCAAAGUUUUUUUCAGAUAUCUUUAGUCAGGACAGACGGACCGGAUGUUUGCAAAACUUUCAUUAAAGAAUUUGUCUGAAGACUUCCAAAGCUGCGUUUAAAUUCAAGAUUCGGACAAAUCACCUCUAGUCAAAACCAAAGAGGAAUAAUGUUUACAUUCUGGUAGGUGUAGUUCAGUUCAUUUGUCCUAUUGCUAAUAACCAAGAGAUGUAAAGAAAAGGUUAAUGAUAGUGUUUGAUCAGAUGAGUAUAAUUUAUGAUUGAUUUAAAUUUAUUUCGUAUUGUAAAAGUUAUUCUUAUGUACCUGGGAUUCACAAUCAUGUACAAGAAACAUAGAAAUUCUGAAUGCACUCAAACUUAUAAGUUUAUAUACGUAAUUUCAUUCUUCAUAGUGUUUUAACGGGGUUGCUAUCUCAACUGCAAAUGCUGUUAUGUAUGAUUCACUGAUAAGAAUCAACGUAGAAGGCUUUUUGAGUUCAUCUGAAGACGUUAUGGUUCAAGCAACAUUUUAUACGAAAUGAUAUGGAAUUCAGAAGUUAAACUAAAGACUGUGCUUUGUAUACUGUAUACACUUCAUUAAAGUCUGUUGCUCUCGCGCAUGCGAGCUCAUCCUAUAUAAAGUGUUUUUGAGUUUUAUUUAUAAAUAAUUUAUGUUCGUUUGAACUGGUGAAUU